GACGAACGCUGGCGGCGUGCUUAACACAUGCAAGUCGAACGGAAAGGCCCUGCUUUUUUGGGGUGCUCGAGUGGCGAACGGGUGAGUAACACGUGAGUAACCUGCCCUUCACUUUGGGAUAACUUCAGGAAACUGGGGCUAAUCCCGGAUAGGAGCUCCUGCUGCAUGGUGGGGGUUGGAAAGUUUCGGCGGUUGGGGAUGGACUCGCGGCUUAUCAGCUUGUUGGUGGGGUAGUGGCUUACCAAGGCUUUGACGGGUAGCCGGCCUGGGAGGGUGACCGGCGACAUUGGGACUGAGAUACGGCGCAGACUCGAACGGGAGGCAGCAGGGGGGAAUAUGGCACAAUGGGCGGAAGCCUGAUGCAGAAACGCCGCGUGCGGGAUGACGGCCUGCGGGGUGUAAACAGCUGUCGCCUGUGACGAAGCGUGAGUGACGGUAAUGGGUAAAGAAGCACCGGCUAACUACGUG
rnacentral:rRNA from 1 species